UACGUAGGGGGCAAGCGUUGUCCGGAAUUAUUGGGCGUAAAGCGCGCGCAGGCGGUCUCUUAAGUCUGAUGUGAAAGCCCACGGCUCAACCGUGGAUGGUCAUUGGAAACUGGGGGACUUGAGUGUAGGAGAGGAAAGUGGAAUUCCACGUGUAGCGGUGAAAUGCGUAGAGAUGUGGAGGAACACCAGUGGCGAAGGCGACUUUCUGGCCUAUAACUGACGCUGAGGCGCGAAAGCGUGGGGAGCAAACAGG
rnacentral:rRNA from 1 species